GUGACCGAUAGUGAACCAGUACCGUGAGGGAAAGGUGAAAAGAACCCCGGGAGGGGAGUGAAAGAGAACCUGAAACCAUAUGCUUACAAGAAGUCAGAGCCCGUUAAGGGGUGAUGGCGUGCCUUUUGUAGAAUGAGCCGGCGAGUUAUGAUAUGCAGCGAGGUUAAGCAGGAGAUGCGGAGCCGAAGCGAAAGCGAGUCUGAAUAGGGCGAGAGUUGUAUGUCAUAGACCCGAAACCGAGUGAUCUAGCCAUGAUCAGGUUGAAGUUGGGGUAAAACCCGAUGGAGGACCGAACCGACCCCCGUUGAAACGUUGGCGGAUGAAUUGUGGCUAGGGGUGAAAUUCCAAACGAACUCGGAGAUAGCUGGUUCUCCCCGAAAUAGCUUUAGGGCUAGCGUCAGAGUGAAAGUUAUGUGAAGGUAGAGCACUGAAUAUGUGAUGGCCUCAUCCCGAGGUACUGAAUAUAAUCAAACUCCGAAUGUCACAGGAACAUAUCUGGCAGUCAGACUGCGGGUGAUAAGGUCCGUAGUCAAAAGGGAAACAGCCCAGACCAUCAGCUAAGGUCCCAAAAUAUAUGCUAAGUGGAAAAGGAUGUGGAGAUGUCCAGACAACCAGGAGGUUGGCUCAGAAGCAGCCACCCUUUAAAGAGUGCGUAACAGCUCACUGGUCGAAUGACUCUGCGCCGAAAAUUUACCGGGGCUAAGCAUAAUACCGAAGCUAUGGAUUUAUACGACAAGUAUAAGUGGUAGGGGAGCGUUCCUGUCAGCGAGGAAGCAUGACCGCAAGGACAUGUGGAGCGGCAGGAAGAGAGAAUGCCGGUGUGAGUAGCGGAACGUGGGUGAGAAUCCCACGCACCGAAAACCCAAGGUUUCCAGAGGAAGGUUCGUCCGCUCUGGGUAAGUCGGGACCUAAGGCGAGGCCGAAAGGCGUAGUCGAUGGACAACGGGUGGAGAUUCCCGUACCUGAUGAAGAGGCAAUGGAGUGACGGAGCAGGCUAGGCGAUCCAGCUGCUGGAAUAGCUGGUGCAAGCGAGGUAGGGGACAUCCAGGCAAAUCCGGAUGUUGAAACCCGAAGGCGUGACGCGUAUGGAACAUUACGAUAAGUACAGAAGUCGCCGAAGCAAGCUUCCAAGAAAAGCUUCUAGCAAUCAACUCUUUGUCAGCCCGUACCGAAAAUGGACACACAUGGGUGAGGAGAGAAUCCUAAGGUGAGCGAGAGAACUAUAGCUAAGGAACUCUGCAAAAUGACUCCGUAACUUCGGGAGAAGGAGUGCUCAUUGAGAGAUGAGCCGCAGUAAAACGGCCCAAGCGACUGUUUACCAAAAACACAGCUCUCUGCCAAGACGCAAGUCGAAGUAUAGGGGGUGACGCCUGCCCGGUGCUGGAAGGUUAAGAGGAGUGGUCAGCGCAAGCGAAGCCAUGAAUUGAAGCCCCAGUAAACGGCGGCCGUAACUAUAACGGUCCUAAGGUAGCGAAAUUCCUUGUCAGGUAAGUUCUGACCCGCACGAAAGGCGUAACGAUUUGGGCGCUGUCUCAGCUGUAGACUCGGUGAAGUCUUAGUACCUGUGAAGAUGCAGGUUACCCGCGACUAGACGGAAAGACCCCAUGGAGCUUUACUGUAGCUUGAUAUUGGAUUUUGAUGCAUGAUGUACAGGAUAGGUAGGAGACGAAGAGACGGAUACGCCAGUAUUCGAGGAGUCGCCGUUGGGAUACUACCCUUCAUGUAUUGAAGUUCUAACCGGACGCCAUAAGCUGGCGACGGGACAGUGUCAGGUGGGCAGUUUGACUGGGGCGGUCGCCUCCCAAAGAGUAACGGAGGCGCCCAAAGAUACCCUCAGCAUGGUUGGAAAUCAUGCGUAGAGUGCAAAGGCAAAAGGGUGUUUGACUGCGAGACCAACAAGUCGAGCAGGGACGAAAGUCGGGCUUAGUGAUCCGGCGGUGCCGAAUGGAAGGGCCGUCGCUCAACGGAUAAAAGCUACCCUGGGGAUAACAGGCUGAUCUCCCCCAAGAGUUCACAUCGACGGGGAGGUUUGGCACCUCGAUGUCGGCUCAUCGCAUCCUGGAGCUGAAGUCGGUUCCAAGGGUUGGGCUGUUCGCCCAUUAAAGCGGUACGCGAGCUGGGUUCAGAACGUCGUGAGACAGUUCGGUCCCUAU
rnacentral:rRNA from 1 species